CUUCCUACGGGGCGCAGCAGUCGGGAAUAUUGCACAAUGGAGGAAACUCUGACGCAGUGACACCGCGUAUAGGAAGAAGGUUUUCGGAUUGUAAACUAUUUUAGACAGGGAAGAAAAAAGACAGUACCUGUAGAAUAAGCUCCGGCUAACUACGUGCCAGCAGCCGCGGUAAUACGUAGGGGGCAAGCGUUAUCCGGAAUUACUGGGUGUAAAGGGUGAGUAGGCGGCAUGGUAAGCCAGAUGUGAAAGCCUUGGGCUUAACCCGAGGAUUGCAUUUGGAACUAUCAAGCUAGAGUACAGGAGAG
rnacentral:rRNA from 1 species